rnacentral:rRNA from 1 species
AAUAGAUACCCGGGUAGUCCACGCCCUAAACUAUGUCAACUAGUUGUCGGGGAAGAAAUUCCUUGGUAACGCAGCUAACGCAUGAAGUUGACCGCCUGGGGAGUACGGCCGCAAGGUUAAAACUCAAAGGAAUUGACGGGGACCCGCACAAGCGGUGGAUCAUGUGGAUUAAUUCGAUGCAACGCGAAAAACCUUACCUACCCUUGACAUGUACGGAAUUCCGCAGAGACGUGGAAGUGCCCGAAAGGGAACCGUAACACAGGUGCUGCAUGGCCGUCGUCAGCUCGUGUCGUGAGAUGUUGGGUUAAGUCCCGCAACGAGCGCAACCCUUGCCAUUAGUUGCUACAUUCAGUUGGGCACUCUAAUGGGACCGCCGGUGACAAACCGGAGGAAGGUGGGGAUGACGUCAAGUCCUCAUGGCCCUUAUGGGUAGGGCUUCACACGUAAUACAAUGGUCGGUACAGGGGACUGCCAACCCGCAAGGGGAGCUAAUCCCAGAAAGCCGAUCGUAGUCCGGAUUGUAGUCUGCAACUCGACUGCAUGAAACCGGAAUCGCU